AGAAGAGAGAAGGAAACGGAGGAAGUUUUUGGAUGCCCUGUGCGCGUUCCAGAGGCCCUUCGACUUUCCAUCCCAGAAACGAUAAACGCGGCGAGCAGCGCUUUCACGGCAUAGUUAUGAUUAAUUUCAUAAUCCAGUCUGGUAAUUUUAAGAAGCGAGUUCUUGCAUCCGCCCUCCUCGCCUCGAAGAGGAUAAGGAGCGUCAGCGAGCCGAAGGUCUCCCUGGCGAGCGUGGCAGUAUUGGAGGGCUCCCCGAAGGUCGCCUUGGUGUCCCCCGGGGCAUCCGCGGAGGUGCCGGAGAUCUGCCUGGGCAGGUGGGGCUCGUUAGCCGUGGUAGGCAGUUCACCUAGGAGAGCAAACUCCGAACAACAAACCCGGGCAGGUGGAGCUCGUUAGCCGUGGUAGGCAGUUCACCUAGGAGAGCAAACUCCGAACAACAAACCCGGGCAGGUGGAGCUCGUUAGCCGUGGCAGGCAGUUCACCUAGGAGAGCAAACUCCGAACAACAAAACCGGGCUGGUGGAGGUCGUUAGCGAGAGCAGUUCACCUAGGAGAAGGACAACUCUGAUAAAAAACCCGGGCAGGUGGGGCUCGUUAGCGUUAGCAGUUCACCUAGGAGAGCAAACUCCGAACAAUAAAACCGGGCAGGUGGAGGUCGUUAGCGAGAGCACUUCACCUAGGAGAGCAAACUCCGAACAAUAAAACCGGGCAGGUGGAGGUCGUUAGCGAGAGCAGUUCACCUAGGAGAGCAAACUCCGAUUACAAACCCGGGCAGGUGAGGCUCGUUAGCCUUGGUAGGCAAUUCACCUAGGAGAAGGACAACUCCGAACAACAAACCCGGGCAGGUGAGGCUCGUUAGCCUUGGUAGGCAAUUCACCUAGGAGAAGGACAACUCCGAACAACAAACCCGGGCAGGUGAGGCUCGUUAGCCGUGGUAGGCAAUUCAUCUAGGAGAAGGACAACUCCGAACAACAAACCCGGGCAGGUGAGGCUCGUUAGCCUUGGUAGGCAAUUCACCUAGGAGAAGGACAACUCCGAACAACAAACACGGGUUGGUGGAGCUCGUUAGCGUAAGGCAGUCCACCUAGGAGAGCAAACUCCGAUUACAAAACCGGGCAGGUGGAGGUCGUUAGCGUGAGCGGUCCACCUAGGAGAGCAAACUCCGAACAGCAAACCCGGGCAGGUGGAGGUCGUUAGCGUGAGCAGUCCACCUAGGAGAGCAAACUCUGAACAGCAAACCCGGGCUGGUGGAGCUCGUUAGCGAAAGCAGUUCACCUAGGAGAAGGACAACUCUGAUCACAAACCCGGGGAGGUGGCGAUCGUUAGCCGCGAGGCAGUUCACCUAGGAGAGCAAACUCCGAUUACAAACCCGGGCAGGAGGGGGUCGUCAGCCAUGGUAGGCAGUCUUCCUAGGAGACGGAAAACUCCGAAUUCAAACCACACACACACACACACACACCAACCGGGCAGGUGGGGCUCGUUAUAGGCGUCGUAGACAAUCCACCAAGGGGAAUCAACAUAAAAAGGGAUAAUGAAAAAGAACACAAGAAAAGAAUAUGAAAUUAGAACAGGACAAAAGAGAUAAUAUAAAAGAGAACACCGAAAAAAAGAUAGUUAGAAAACAUCGAUAAAAACAUAAGAUACACACGGAUCAUCCACCUUUCGGCCCUAACACCAGCAUCAAAAUUAUGGGCGGGUCUCUUCUGGGAGGAAAGCGGCUCACCCAGACCAACAACGAACACCAAGAAAGGAUAAUGUAAAGAAGAAAAACAAAACGUCGAAAAGAAGACCAACAGCAUGAAAAAGACCAGCAAUAAAAUGAUAUAAAAAAGAAAGGAAAAGAAUGAGAAAAAGCAAAGAAAAAGAGAAACA